rnacentral:rRNA from 1 species
UAGUUGGAUAUCUGCUAAGGGGUUCCGGUCCUUCCCAGUGAAGAAUACGACGGAACUCUUCUUGGCAUUUAUUCAGGGAAGGUGUUUGCACUUUGUUGUGUGUCACGUGAUCUGAAUUUUUACUUUGAGGAAAUGAGAGUGUUUCAAGCAGGCUUUCGCCGUGAAUAUGAUAGCAUGGAAUAAUAGCACAGGACCCCUUUCCAAAGCUGUUGGUUUUUGGAACGAGGUAAUCAGAAUAAGGAUAGUUGGGGGUAUUCGUAUUUAACUGUCAGAGGUGAAAUCUUGGAUUUUUUAAAGACGAACUAUUGCGAAGGCAUCUGCCCAGGAUG